UUUAAAGGUAGACAGUUUAAAUUUUCCUUCUGUUGCUUAAUUCGAGGUUUUCUAUGUACACUGAUUAUAAAAAUAAAUAAAAAUUUAAAAUCGCCGUUCAUAUUAUUUAGGUCGUUAUCAAACUCGCAAAUAAAAAGUGUGUAUGUGUAUCACCUUGUACACAGCUGUCAACGCAUUCAAAAACGCAUUUAUGGAGUUGCUCGAUAUAUACGCAGUCAAGCGCAUUUUUUCGCUUUCGCAUUCGCAUUCGCAUACGCGAGCUAUGUAGAUUGAGCUUAAUUCUAGAAUUGCUUGCAGCACAUACUCCCAUGCUUUCGAAAAUUCUACGCAGCUACCAUAAGUGACACCAAUUAGGUUGCGUACCUUUAACCCGCCGUACGAGGUUUGAAAUAUCUGAAUGGAAAAUUAAUUACAAUUUAACUCAACCCUACAAGACGGAGCUAACUCAUACACCACUACACAUGCAAAUUUUUUCAGCUUUUACCAAUACAUACACAUUGCUAACAUUUUGUAGUUAAGUGGCAAUCUCGGUAGUUAGAGUAGCAAAGUUCAUUAUUCCUAAUUUUUGUAUGUGUAAGAGAGAGAUGCACGUACUACAUGUACCGCCAUGGCCGCUGUUCAUUUGAAAAUAAAAUUUGAAGUGAAUAGAUACAUGAUCAACAAGACAACAACAAACCCCAUCGGACAUUUAGAUUAGCAGUUGCACAACCUCUUUCCGACGAGCUGAACCUUUUUAUGAUGUACAUAUGGGAUAGGAUUGUGUGGAAUUGACAUCAAACCAUAUUGGUUCAUUACCCAGCAAUGGUUCAUUACCCAGCAUGGGUACUGAAACUCCAACACAUUCAAAGAAAUUUUAAUAACACCACUACAUACACACAUACACAACAAAGGGUAAAAUGUGCAUAAACAUUUAACUCAACUCUUCUCUCAUACAGCACCCUGAAUGAUAGAAAGAAACAACCAAAGUUCUCGUGUUUGAACAAGUUUUGUUUUGAGCUAUAUCAUGGCUGCUUGUGAAGUAUUAUUUUGCGUGUUUUAUUUAAUUCAGUGAUCUGUAGCAUAAUUAAAGUUUAAAUUUUUGAAGCACGCAUUUUUAAAUAAGUAAAACGUAAAAUAAAAGUUUUCUAAAGCCAAAAUAUGGAAUUGAAGAGGGUGAUACAGAAAUACUUCAUUGCACUGCCAAUUCGAAGCACGCAAUAGAAGCUACGCCAAUUGAUGUUGACAAUGGCGAAGCCAUUUAAUACGUAAAUAAUUGUUGAAUAUAAUAAUAUUAUCUUGCCUUAAAUUUCAAACCUCAUAUGGCGCGUUAAAGGUACGCAAACUUAUUGGUGUCACUUAUUGUAGCAGCGUAGAACUUUCGAAGCGAUGGAAUAUGUGCUGCAAGCAAAUCCAAAACUAUGGACGCAAACGCUGCUACAUGGAACACAAAUCGUUUACACACCAGAUAUUACGUUUAAAGUCACUUUUUUGCGUGCAAUUAAACCUUUUGGUCAACACAAGCACGAAAAUUGGAACGACAUGGUUUAGGUGCUUUUGAAACCGUUUAUUAUCACGACGUGUGUCAACUGGGUUUUGCCAAUGAGCUAGAGGGCAAAGCAGUUUCAGUAUCUUUGAGCUUACCGGCACUUGGCCGUGCCAUUAGCAGCUAAAACACAGAAAUUAAAUGGAGGACUUUUUUGAUUCAUUUUCACCUUGUAUUGAGGAACCAUAACGUUGUUGUAUCGCUUUACAAAGACAUAAAUUCACCGAAAUUAGUUCAAUGGAAAUACUACAGCAAGACCAUGGAUGUUAAGACUUGAACGGUGCCGUGUUAGAUUUAGAAUUCCUGAAACAUAAGAAACCCUCCUCCCAGAUGAAUCUAUUACUAGUGAAAUUAAUGAAAGAACAGAUCUUAUAAAAACUCCGAAAGAAACCAAAAGAGUCCUCACAUAAUGUGCGCAGCUUACACUUCCAAACCGCACGGGGUAUUUGACAUUUUCCACUCUUCCUCCAGCCUUUGUCCGAUAGCAAAAAUUGUUCAAAUAUUCAUUUUCACCUACUUUAUACAUAUGUAUAUAGUGUAGUACGAUAACAUAUGUAUAAAGUAAAUAUAAUAAUAAACAACUAAAUGGCAUGAUAUUUUCAAUAAAUAUGUAACAUAAUUAAUUAUUUUGUUAUUAAAUUCUCAUUUGGGAUUUUGGUAGAACUAACCGAAAAUAGAGGGUAUAGUUUCUGGGCUUUUGUGGGUCGCAGUACUGAAAGUGCACGUGGAGUUUUGGUUCGCAGUAUUGGGUGUUUCAUCCGUGAUUGUACCAAUACCAUUCCCCAAAUUGUGCAAGAGGUAUAUAUACAUUGCUAAAUGAUUAAUGUAAUGUGCAAGAAAGGGAUGAACGAUCACACGUACACAAUAGUUUCGGGUACUUUUGUCAAUUCGCCCUUAAGAAUGGCAUAGAAACUUUCAUUGAAACUGCGGGUACCGCUCCCUGGUAUUUCACCGGAGAAUUCGCCGGUACCUGUCUUGCAGGGUAGUUUGGUUGGAUCCUU